AUUGUUGCUAGGCUACGUUAGAUGAUAGCUUAGUUGGCGUGGAGUACAUGCUUAUAGUUACUUCGUUAGGUUUCUCUACGUUAUGUUACGCGUUUAAGGCGUUUCACUCCAAGUCAGUCUUUCAAGACUUUUGAAGGUGUAAUAAGAAAGAUUUUUUAAAAAUCCACGCAAUCCGCAAAUAUAGAGCAUUAAGUAAUAUAAUUAUGCUAGCGUGUUGCGAACUACCAGUGUUGGGGCUACCAGGGAAAACACCAAGCAAUUUAUUUUGCCAAUCUAUUUGUAACACUAUAAAAACUGCUCACCACGCCUCUGUUAGACAUGAAGAGAAUUUCGUUAACGUUCGCAGAAAUCUAGAUUUAUGUCUUUGUUUGCUGUAGUGAACUGCACUAAUGAAUCUGAUGUCAACAUUGAUCCCAGGUCAUACGCUCGAAUGCUCUACACGCUUUAUAGCUGGUUCAUGAUUCUUUAUUUAUUUUAUUUAUCUAUUUUUUUUUCGUAUUCAAUAUCAGGGAUUCAGUUCUUUUUUUUUUGUGACAAAGACAAAGAAAGGAAAAGCCCUAGGAUCCCUUACGAUUUGUUUAUCUUUAGUUCGCGUCAUCGGCUGGUGCUACCUGAUGUUUGUAGAAUAGUUUAGUGUAGAUUGAUAAGGUUAAAUCAAUAGAAGUUUGAUUUUUUCAGUAAUAUUUACAUAAAUCUUUUUUGGGUCUCUACUAUAAUGCAUGCCCUUUCUAGGCUGUCUAGCAAUAGUUAAAUGAACCAAUCUGAGUAUUCCAAUGGGCUGCCAAUGAUUGGAAACUGUGCGGUCGAAUUGAUGGACUCGCCUAAAGUCUCUGUAUUUACAAACGCCUGUCCUUAUAGAUCUGCCGUUGCUGACGACGUCAAGACUUCAAACAUUUAUUUUCAUGUAUGAAUGUUCAAUCAGGGGAAGCAGUAACUUGACUGAGCAUCCCCUAUCUUCAUGGGUCUCAUUCAUUAGUCAUCCUCUAUAGGCUGGCACAUCCAAAGGAGCUGUGCGGAGCUGUGAUAUUUGCGUUACGUUCAUUUUUUCUUUCCAGCUUCCGAGGACUCGAAAACCUCUUAUUCCCGAAUCUCUAGCACGGAAUCAUUGGCUUCGUGCCCUUUGAUGUGGCUUAUUGUUCUCUACUUGCUAUAUAUAACCUGCUGCAGACUCGCUUCCACAGACGAUCGAUCUGGAAGGGCAGCCGCGAUUAUCGAUCUACGGGCAAAAGGAACACAAGCCUGUGUGUAGACCACUUAUAUUCUUUUCGGUUUCGUGCCAUUCAUGAUGUUGGAACACGACGCUUUAUUGUCCUAUCGGCAAGUCAUUGGUUUUCCUACUUUAGAUGUAUACAGAGAAAAGGAAGCGCCGUUAAAGUGUUGGUAAAGAAUAGAAAUACUAAAACCACGUUCAACCAUCUUAUGGUGCAAAAGUUCAAUUCACAAUUUUGUACAGUUGUUUUACACAAUGUGGUACACGUAUAGACUGUGUACUGAGACGACUUUUUACACAGGCAUCUAUACACUGUUAGCAACCAUGUUUUCGUAACUUUCAAAUGCUGGCUAGAAAACGAGAAGAGAUAUAAUAUUAUUUAUGUUGAUUUGUUUGACGGAUUUCGGGGUCCGCAACGUUAUCUACUAUUCUUAUUCUCCUGUUUCCUGUUAUACAACCAAUUUCUUAAGUAUCACUCUUUUGUUUUUUGUUUUUUUGUUUGUUUUUUUUUUGUGCCUGUGUUUCCCUAAUCUUGUUUUCUUUCUUUUCUGUCUUAUAUUUUUGGUCGAUGCGUGGGCGGAACUCUUAUAGCGGCCCAUGCAACAACAACAACAACAACAUAUUCUAGCCUAACGUAUAUACCCCAAAAUACACGUUAUAUACAGA